CAAAAUACGUUAAUAGUAAUACGCGUUUUCAGCUGCUACAAGAUAUCGAUUAUCGUGUGAUCGAUACGGAAACUUUGACAUUAUUUUAAAAACAAACAUUGUGAUUUGGAAAGAAUUUCUUUUUAUCAAAUGCUUUACACUGUAUAUUAAAUAUAUCCCGUCAAUUUGCGAUCAAAUAAAAUUAAUAUCCUUUCAGCUUUCCUCCACACUCCACAGGUACGAAUCGGAUAUAUUUUCUAUAAAUAUUUGCUUCGUUUUGCGUCUGUAAUCCUGCAUAGCUAGAAGCCCUACGUGAUCACUGAUUUGUGGCGCAGUUCGUAUGGUCGAAAGGUCGUUCUCAUUUACAAUUGUGCACAGAAAUUGUGUUAUAUUAAUGUCUUGAAAAAAGUUUCGGAUUUUUUUUUUAAAUCUCCAAUUGCCAAACUCAGAUAACAAAACAAAAAAAUUGUUAAAGAAAGUUUAAAUCAUUUGUUCCGCUCUUACAGUAAAUAAAGGAGAGCUCGCUCCGAACGUGUCUAAUUUAUUCCUUUCAGCAAGUUUUGUUGGAUCGUGGAUUUUCUAAUAAAAUUUCAGAUAAUUCUCAUAUCAAUUAUACAACACGUUUACUUUUCCGGAGUGGAAUUCUCAUCACCCAAAGUAACUGACGGCUGACUGACUUUAUUUGGGAAGUUCUCCAUGUCUUGCUUCGCUAUUUGUAAAAGCCCAUCUUAAUAAGUCUACCAAUCGAUUUCUUGGUAUCGCAAUAAAAAUAGGAAAAGUUGAAGUAAAAUCUCAUCAAUUUCCUUCCAGUAACGCUAUCACGAACAAUUUGUAUUGUGAUGGAAUAAUGUCCAAUAUGUGGAUAUUAAAAGAGUACAGAAGGGAGAAACCAUUAGCAAAUAGAAACACAUCGGAAAGACACACAUCCCCCCCCCCCCCCCGAAUCGUUGAAUGGCGACUGUCACCCCAGAAGAGAAUAAACAUCCAACACUUCUCUCCCAGUCGAACGAAUCCCACCAGACGUUUCGUGAUUAAUUCAUUUGAUUUUUUUCAAAUACGGAUAUCGGUUAAAAAGAGUGUGACACAAUAAUUCGCGAAGCAUAACUUCAUUUCGUUGGCUUUGCAAAUAAUCACUCGAUCAAGUUUUUGAAUUUUUAUUGAAUGGUCAAAUAUCAGUUUCGACUCUCUACUGUUUUCAAUAAAAUUGCGAGAAAGAUAAAAA